rnacentral:rRNA from 1 species
AGGGGGGGCAAGCGUUGUUCGGAAUUACUGGGCGUAAAGGGUGCGUAGGCGGCUUUCUAAGUUGGAUGUGAAAACUCUGGGCUCAACCCAGAGACUGCAUCCAAAACUGGAGAGCUUGGGUUCUGGAGGGGAAAGCGGAAUUCCUGGUGUAGCGGUGAAAUGCGUAGAUAUCAGGAGGAACACCGGUGGCGAAGGCGGCUUUCUGGACAGAUACCGACGCUGAGGCACGAAAGCUAGGGGAGCAAACAGGAUUAGAUACCCUGGUAGUCCUAGCCCUAAACGAUGGAUACUUGCUGUGAGGGGGAUUGAAACCCCUUGUGGCGAAGCUAACGCAUUAAGUAUCCCGCCUGGGGAGUACGGUCGCAAGGCUG